AUUGAACGCUGGCGGCAGGCCUAACACAUGCAAGUCGAGCGGAUGACGGGAGCUUGCUCCUUGAUUCAGCGGCGGACGGGUGAGUAAUGCCUAGGAAUCUGCCUGGUAGUGGGGGACCACGUUUCGAAAGGAACGCUAAUACCGCAUACGCCCUACGGGAGAAAGCAGGGGACCUUCGGGCCUUGCGCUCUCAGAUGAGCCGAGGUCGGAUUAGCUAGUUGGUGGGGUAAUGGCUCACCAAGGAGACGAUCCGUAACUGGUCUGAGAGGAUGAUCAGUCACACUGGAACUGAGACACGGUCCAGACUCCUACGGGAGGCAGCAGUGGGGAAUAUUGGACAAUGGGCGAAAGCCUGAUCCAGCCAUGCCGCGUGUGUGAAGAAGGUCUUCGGUUUGUAAAGCACUUUAAGUUGGGAGGAAGGGCAGUAAGCUAAUAUCUUGCUGUUUUGACGUUACCGACAGAAUGAGCACCGGCUAACUCUGUGCCAGCCGCCGCCGUAA
rnacentral:rRNA from 1 species